ensembl:lncRNA
UACUGACCAGGAUGGAGAAUCAAUAACUCAGUAAACACUGCAGGUCACUGACCAGGAUGGAUAAUCAAUACCUCAGUAAAUACUGUAUCUUACUGACCAGGAUGGAUAAUCAAUACCUCAGUAAAUACUGUAUCUUACUGACCAGGAUGGAGAAUCAAUAACUCAGUAAACACUGCAGGUCACUGACCAGGAUGGAGAAUCAAUAACUCAUUAAAUACUGUAUCUUACUGACCAGGAUGGAGAAUCAAUAACUCAGUAAACACUGCAGGUCACUGACCAGGAUGGAGAAUCAAUACCUCAUUAAAUACUGCAGGUCACUGACCAGGAUGGAGAAUCAAUAACUCAUUAAAUACUGCAGGUCACUGACCAGGAUGGAGAAUCAAUAACUCAGUAAAUACUGCAGGUCACUGACCAGGAUGGAGAAUCAAUAACUCAGUAAAUACUGCAGGCCACUGACCAGGAUGGAGAAUCAACAACUCACGGCAGGUCUGGGAAGUAUGUCAAGAAUAGGAUGCCAUUUUGGAUGCAGACUGUGUAUUGGGCCCACACCAGCACCACACCAACAAUGACUUCCUCUGUCAUGUGGCCAAAGGUUAGUAAUGGGAGGAGGCGUCUGACACAAGAGUAAGUCCCAGAGUUAUAUAGGGUUGACAGUCCAAGGCUCAGUUUACAGUUAGGACACAGAACCUGCCGGGAAUAACCCAGUCAUUGCCAUAGAUGCCAGUUCUGUAAUGG